AAAUUAAACAAAAAAGGAAACCUAAAAGAUAAUUCCCAGUCAAAUCAAACAGGCCGGCCAUUUAUUACUUCCAUCGUCUUUUCAUGUCCAUCAGUUGCGCCUGUUUAGAGAUAACCUUUCCCAAAGAUUUCAAUGUACUUGUUAUCUUUAACUACUCACUUCUCCAUCCCAAGACGAUUUCAAUCCGGAUUUUCUCUCCAUCUUCCUUCCAGAUCUAUUGCUCUAUGGAUCAUCAUUUUCCCCACCAGGGAGGGAAUAUUUUCAUGAAGAACUGUCUUUGAGGCUUUUAAAGCACCCAUCUGGUCCCGAACUACUAAACCUGAGGCCGAUCUGGAAUUUCUCUUGUCGAAGGCUGCAUCAAACUGAACUGUAAUACCCUCCAUCACCCCUGUUUGACCAUGAGCUCUUUCGAUAAUAGAGUUCCAUAUAAACCAUGGAGCGCAGCAAAAGAUCUGACACUGUUCUUUUGUACUCAUUUCGAAAACCCAGGUUAACCAUUCCCAGAAAAUUUGAUUCAUAUGAAUUAUAGCCCAAGAGAGGUUGAUGCUUUGCCAUAUUUCACUGAUUGCAGGGCAUUGUCUAAAGAUAUGGUUGCUAUCUUCUUCUCUGAGACUGCACCGAGAACAUCUAUCGUUGGCGGUCACUUUCUUAUAACUUAGGUUAGCUAAUGAAAGGAAAUAGUUCCAAGAGAUUCGCCAUAUUGUUAUUGUAAUUUUUGAUGGUAGCUGUAAAUCCCAUAAUUUUCGAUGGAAAUUUUUAGUUUUGGGUUGUAAUAAAUAGCUAUUAGUAUACAAGCUGUUAUAUUGUAAUAGUUUAUAGGCACUUCUUACUGAGAAAUCCCCUUAAGGUUUUUCUUUCCACACUUGGAAGUCUGCAUGGUCUGCUUCUGCCAAAGGGAUCUGCAAGAUCUUUUGGACUAUGUCCAGUUGAAAGUCCUUCGUUCAACUCUCCAGCAAAGACCAUCAUGAAUGAGCCCCUUUGCUGCCCAGAUGCUCUUCUAGGUAAAUGAAGAAGUAAAUCUCACACUAUGCUUUCUUACUUUAGAAUGCAGAAGACUACUGAUAUACAAGAUGCGCUGACUAUAUAAAUCACAAAAAGCCAAGCGAAACAACAGAAAACCUAAAACUUCUUGCCAGAGGCGGCAGACAGAAAUGUGCCAGAGGCGGCAAACUAAAGCACAAUUUCACCUUAAACUCAUGAUUUUUUGUGGUUUUCUAUUCUUAGAAGUUUUAGCAGCAAUAAUAAAUAAGUAAUGAAUUCGUGACUGACACUGAAAAUUAGAUUUAGGGUUUUUUAUAUAUAAUUAUAGAAUAUGUAAAAGUAUAAUAAAAAUUAUAUGAGAAAUUAUUUGGUACACUGUCGGUAGAGAUUGUUGGAAAAAAUCCAGUUUAAAAAUGGUUUUCUAUUACAAUGGAAAUUUAAAAUUUUGAAAAA